rnacentral:rRNA from 1 species
AAUAGCCUAACGGCUGAACCAGCAAUUUGGGGGAAUGUAAAUAUGUAUAAUUAUAUACAUAUGUAUUGACUAUGUCAAAUAAAAUUCUGAAUAGAUAAUUGAUAAUGACAAACUUCUAUUCAUAUGUCUUGACCAAUGCUUGUGCCAGCAGUCGCGGUAACACAAGUAAGACUAGUGUUAUUCAUCUUUAUUAGGUUUAAAGGGUACCUAGACGGCAUUAAAUUGCUAGAGUUUUAUGUGAGAGGUAUAUAUUAGAUAGGUUUGUGUAGAGAUGUAAUUCCUUGAUACUUAUAGAAUGUGUAACGGCGAAGGCAACCCUCUAUGUACAAACUGACGUUAAGGGACGAAGGCUUGGGGAGCAAAUAGGAUUAGAGACCCUAGUAGUCCAGGCAGAAAAUCAUGAAUGUUAUAUACAUAAUUUAAAGGUGUGUAUAAAUGAAAGUGUAAGCAUUCCACCUUAAGAGUAAUGCGGCAACGCAGGAACUGAAAUCAUUAGACCGUAUCUGAAACCAGUACUGAAGUAUGUUAUUUAAUUCGAUGAUCCUCGAAAAACCUUACCACAAUUUGAAUGAUACUUGAUGAGAUGAUAAUAUGUCAUUUCUAUAAACAAAUCAAAUAUUACAAGCGUUGCACGGCUGUCUUUAGUAAAUGUCGUGAGACUAUGGUUAGAUCCAUUAAAUAAACGUGAUCCCUUGCUUUAUUCAUAAGAUGUUAUCAUGUAGUACUUUAUUUUUUAAUCGAACCACCCACCCUCGCUUGCUUACAAGGGAUAGGGAUAGGGAAAGGUGGUAUAAAUGG